rnacentral:rRNA from 1 species
UGAUGCAGCCAUGCCGCGUGUAUGAAGAAGGCCUCGGGUUGUAAAGUACUUUCAGCAGUGAGGAAGGUGGGGUAUGGUUAAUAGCAUACUCAUUUGACGUUAGCUGCAGAAGAAGCACCGGCUAACUCCGUGCCAGCAGCCGCGGUAAUACGGAGGGUGCGAGCGUUAAUCGGAAUUACUGGGCGUAAAGCGCAUGCAGGUGGUUGUUAAGUCAGAUGUGAAAGCCCGGGGCUCAACCUCGGAAUUGCAUUUGAAACUGGCAAACUAGAGUACUGUAGAGGGGGUAGAAUUUCAGGUGUAGCGGUGAAAUGCGUAGAGAUCUGAAGGAAUACCGGUGGCGAAGGCGGCCCCCUGGACAGAUACUGACACUCAGAUGCGAAAGCGUGGGGAGCAAACAGGAUUAGAUACCCUGGUAG